GACGAACGCUGGCGGCGUGCCUAAUACAUGCAAGUAGAACGCUGAAGGAGGAGCUUGCUUCUCCGGAUGAGUUGCGAACGGGUGAGUAACGCGUAGGUAACCUGCCUGGUAGCGGGGGAUAACUAUUGGAAACGAUAGCUAAUACCGCAUAACAGUAGAUGUUGCAUGACAUUUGCUUAAAAGGUGCAAUUGCAUCACUACCAGAUGGACCUGCGUUGUAUUAGCUAGUUGGUGAGGUAACGGCUCACCAAGGCGACGAUACAUAGCCGACCUGAGAGGGUGAUCGGCCACACUGGGACUGAGACACGGCCCAGACUCCUACGGGAGGCAGCAGUAGGGAAUCUUCGGCAAUGGACGGAAGUCUGACCGAGCAACGCCGCGUGAGUGAAGAAGGUUUUCGGAUCGUAAAGCUCUGUUGUAAGAGAAGAACGAGUGUGAGAGUGGAAAGUUCACGCUGUGACGGUAUCUUACCAGAAAGGGACGGCUAACUACGUG
rnacentral:rRNA from 1 species